rnacentral:ncRNA from 1 species
UUAAAUCCAAUGAGCAGGGAGAGUAACUAAAUUAAGGUUCGCUUCAGAGAACUAGGGGUGGUGUGAUCCUAGUAAGAAAAGAUUUGGUGAAUGGGCCUGUUAGGAGUAAAGGGAAAUUUUAUUAGAGUACCGGUUACCGUAAGCUCCACGUUAUAGGAGAUAGAGCAUGUUAGUGCUUGAAAAUGAGAGGUAUAUAUAAUUAAGAUAUCUAUUAUAUAUACAAAUUAGGUGGUAUCGCGGAUUAUACUCCGUCCUAUGU